rnacentral:rRNA from 1 species
AUACGGAGGGGGCAAGCGUUGCUCGGAUUUACUGGGCGUAAAGGGCGCGUAGGCGGAUAAUUAAGUCGGGCGUGAAAGCCCCGGGCUCAACCCGGGAACUGCGUUUGAAACUGAUCAUCUAGAGUUCGAAAGAGGGUGGUGGAAUUCCCAGUGUAGAGGUGAAAUUCGUAGAUAUUGGGAAGAACACCAGUGGCGAAGGCGGCCACCUGGUCCGACACUGACGCUGAGGCGCGAAAGCGUGGGGAGCAAACAGAAUUAGAAACCCUAGUAGUCC